UACAGAGGGGGCAAGCGUUGUUCGGAAUUACUGGGCGUAAAGGGCGCGUAGGCGGCCUUCUAAGUCGAACGUGAAAUCCCUGGGCUCAACCCAGGAACUGCGUCCGAUACUGAAAGGCUUGAAUCCGGGAGAGGGAUGCGGAAUUCCAGGUGUAGCGGUGAAAUGCGUAGAUAUCAAGAGGAACACCUGCGGCGAAGGCGGGUUGCUGGGCCGACACUGACGCUGAGGCGCGAAAGCUAGGGGAGCGAACGGG
rnacentral:rRNA from 1 species